CCGGGGUUUCUUUACCAGGUACUGUCAUUAUCAUCCCUGGCGAAAGAGCUUUACGACCCUAAGGCCUUCGUCACUCACGCGGCAUGGCUAGAUCAGGCUUGCGCCCAUUGUCUAAGAUUCCCCA
rnacentral:rRNA from 1 species